rnacentral:rRNA from 1 species
CACCGCGGUUAUACGAGAGGCCCUAGUUGAUUUACACGGCGUAAAGAGUGGUUAUGGAAACUUUACACUAAAGCUGAAAGCCCCUCUAACUGUCAUACGCACUCAAGGGCCAGAAAAACACUCAUACGAAAGUAGCUUUAUCAAUGACAACCAGAACCCACGACAGCUGGGGCA